rnacentral:rRNA from 1 species
GAUGAACGCUGGCGGCGUGCCUAAUACAUGCAAGUCGAGCGAACAGACGAGGAGCUUGCUCCUCUGACGUUAGCGGCGGACGGGUGAGUAACACGUGGAUAACCUACCUAUAAGACUUGGAUAACUUCGGGAAACCGGAGCUACUACCGGAUAAUAUAUUGAACCGCAUGGUUCAAUAGUGAAAGACGGUUUUGCUUUCACUUAUAGAUGGAUCCGCGCCGCAUUAGCUAGUUGGUAAGGUAACGGCUUACCAAGGCGACGAUGCGUAGCCGACCUGAGAGGGUGGUCGGCCACACUGGAACUGAGACACGGUCCAGACUCCUACGGGAGGCAGCAGUAGGGAAUCUUACGCAAUGGGCGAAGGCCUGACGGAGCAGCGCCGCGUGGGUGAUGAAGGUCUUCGGAUCGUAAAACUCUGUUAUUAGGGAAGAACAAAUGUGUAAGUAACUAUGCACGUCUUGACGGUACCUAAUCAGAAAGCCACGGCUAACUACGUG